AAAUUGAAGAGUUUGAUCAUGGCUCAGAUUGAACGCUGGCGGCAGGCCUAACACAUGCAAGUCGAACGGUAACAGGAAGCAGCUUGCUGCUUUGCUGACGAGUGGCGGACGGGUGAGUAAUGUCUGGGAAACUGCCUGAUGGAGGGGGAUAACUACUGGAAACGGUGGCUAAUACCGCAUAACGUCGCAAGACCAAAGAGGGGGACCUUCGGGCCUCUUGCCAUCAGAUGUGCCCAGAUGGGAUUAGCUUGUUGGUGAGGUAACGGCUCACCAAGGCGACGAUCCCUAGCUGGUCUGAGAGGAUGACCAGCCACACUGGAACUGAGACACGGUCCAGACUCCUACGGGAGGCAGCAGUGGGGAAUAUUGCACAAUGGGCGCAAGCCUGAUGCAGCCAUGCCGCGUGUAUGAAGAAGGCCUUCGGGUUGUAAAGUACUUUCAGCGGGGAGGAAGGUGUUGUGGUUAAUAACCACAGCAAUUGACGUUACCCGCAGAAGAAGCACCGGCUAACUCCGUGCCAGCAGCCGCGGUAAUACGGAGGGUGCAAGCGUUAAUCGGAAUUACUGGGCGUAAAGCGCACGCAGGCGGUCUGUCAAGUCGGAUGUGAAAUCCCCGGGCUCAACCUGGGAACUGCAUUCGAAACUGGCAGGCUUGAGUCUUGUAGAGGGGGGUAGAAUUCCAGGUGUAGCGGUGAAAUGCGUAGAGAUCUGGAGGAAUACCGGUGGCGAAGGCGGCCCCCUGGACAAAGACUGACGCUCAGGUGCGAAAGCGUGGGGAGCAAACAGGAUUAGAUACCCUGGUAGUCCACGCCGUAAACGAUGUCUACUUGGAGGUUGUGCCCUUGAGGCGUGGCUUCCGGAGCUAACGCGUUAAGUAGACCGCCUGGGGAGUACGGCCGCAAGGUUAAAACUCAAAUGAAUUGACGGGGGCCCGCACAAGCGGUGGAGCAUGUGGUUUAAUUCGAUGCAACGCGAAGAACCUUACCUGGUCUUGACAUCCACGGAAGUUUUCAGAGAUGAGAAUGUGCCUUCGGGAACCGUGAGACAGGUGCUGCAUGGCUGUCGUCAGCUCGUGUUGUGAAAUGUUGGGUUAAGUCCCGCAACGAGCGCAACCCUUAUCCUUUGUUGCCAGCGAUUCGGUCGGGAACUCAAAGGAGACUGCCAGUGAUAAACUGGAGGAAGGUGGGGAUGACGUCAAGUCAUCAUGGCCCUUACGACCAGGGCUACACACGUGCUACAAUGGCGCAUACAAAGAGAAGCGACCUCGCGAGAGCAAGCGGACCUCAUAAAGUGCGUCGUAGUCCGGAUUGGAGUCUGCAACUCGACUCCAUGAAGUCGGAAUCGCUAGUAAUCGUGGAUCAGAAUGCCACGGUGAAUACGUUCCCGGGCCUUGUACACACCGCCCGUCACACCAUGGGAGUGGGUUGCAAAAGAAGUAGGUAGCUUAACCUUCGGGAGGGCGCUUACCACUUUGUGAUUCAUGACUGGGGUGAAGUCGUAACAAGGUAACCGUAGGGGAACCUGCGGUUGGAUCACCUCCUUACCUUAAAGAA
rnacentral:rRNA from 1 species